rnacentral:rRNA from 1 species
AUGUAUGUCAUGCUAUUUACAAGACCUGAUAUAUGCCAUGCCGUGGGUUUAUUGAGUAGAUAUCAAAUGAAUCAUGGACCUGAACACUGGAAACAGAUUAGGAACACUUUGGGUUAUGUCAAAGGAAUUAUGGCCUAUUUUUUUAGUGGACACAAUCUUCAGCUGCAGGGCUUUACUAAUGCUGAUUGGCAAGGGAAUCUUGAUGAGCGAAAAUCAACUUCUGGUUAUAUGUUUACACUAGCAGGAGGAGCUAUUUCCUGGAGUAGCAAGAAGAAAGAUUCUGUAGCACUUCCAUCUAUGGAGGCAGAAUAUAUUUCUACGUCGGAAGCUGUGAAACAAGGUGUAUGGUUAAAGGAGUUUCUUGCAUUUCUCGGGGUGGUGGAAAGCAUUUCAUUUCCUGUUACUAUUUUCUGUGAUAACGAGGCAGCAAUCAAGGUCUCAAAGGAUCCCAAGUUUCAUAGAAAAACCAAACAUAUUGAGAGAAGGUAUCGUUACAUUCGUGACAUUGUUAAUAGAUUAAGAACAACUCGGUUAGAUUAUUUACCUAGUGUGGACAUGGUUGUUGAUCCACUGACUAAACCUCCUAGUCAGGAGGUAUUUUGUAAACAUGUUUGCAACAUGGGUCUUCGUUUAUGGAAUUAG